rnacentral:rRNA from 1 species
GGGGGGGGGUGCUAUACAUGCAAGUCGAGCGCGGGAAGCGAGUGGAUCCCUUCGGGGUGAAGCUCGUGGAACGAGCGGCGGACGGGUGAGUAACACGUGGGCAACCUGCCUGUAAGAUCGGAAUAACUCCGGGAAACCGGGGCUAAUGCCGGGUAAUACUUUCUUUCGCAUGAAGGAAAGUUGAAAGAUGGCUUCUUGCUAUCACUUACAGAUGGGCCCGCGGCGCAUUAGCUAGUUGGUGAGGUAACGGCUCACCAAGGCGACGAUGCGUAGCCGACCUGAGAGGGUGAUCGGCCACACUGGGACUGAGACACGGCCCAGACUCCUACGGGAGGCAGCAGUAGGGAAUCUUCCGCAAUGGACGAAAGUCUGACGGAGCAACGCCGCGUGAACGAUGAAGGUCUUCGGAUCGUAAAGUUCUGUUGUUAGGGAAGAACAAGUACCGUGCGAAUAGAGCGGUACCUUGACGGUACCUAACGAGGAAGCCCCGGCUAACUACGUGCCAGCAGCCGCGGUAAUACGUAGGGGGCAAGCGUUGUCCGGAAUUAUUGGGCGUAAAGCGCGCGCAGGCGGUUCCUUAAGUCUGAUGUGAAAGCCCACGGCUCAACCGUGGAGGGUCAUUGGAAACUGGGGAACUUGAGGACAGAAGAGGAGAGUGGAAUUCCACGUGUAGCGGUGAAAUGCGUAGAUAUGUGGAGGAACACCAGUGGCGAAGGCGACUCUCUGGUCUGUUUCUGACGCUGAGGUGCGAAAGCGUGGGUAGCAAACAGGAUUAGAUACCCUGGUAGUCCACGCCGUAA